rnacentral:lncRNA from 11 species
CACACAUUAAAUUGGAACCACCUUCCUUCGACUUGUUAUUGGGAGCCUAUUGGAAAGCAGCAGGGCUUGGAUACAAGUUCUUUGACCAUUGUGGACACCCUUCUCUGAACCAUUGAUCAUGACAAAGAAACUAGGCAGUCUUUCAUGUGGCAUGAAA